ACACACUCUCUUGGUGGAAGGGGACUUGUCAUCUCUCUCAUCUGCUCAGCCUCCCCUCCCGUCCCCUCUCUCCGCAGACCACCUGCUCUGGCCUCCUGGCUUCGAACACCAUCUCUGCUGAUGGCUUCUGAUGGCUCUCUCCCUUGGGGGGCCUUCCAGGAGCACUCCCCGGUCCAAGCCACGUCACCGUCAUCGCUGCCUCGGACGACGGAGCAGCCUGCCGACCAGCCUGCCCUCGGUGUCGCCACCAGAGCCAUCACUUACUUAAGGGAUUUAAAUGGCAACUCUAUGUCUCCCUUCCUUUCUCUUCUUCUUUUAACUUUUCAUCAUGGAAAUUUCCAGACAGGCACAGAGAGGGAGUAAGUAGCGGACCCUGCUGCCCCCACCAACCAUAUUAUAUAGAAUGACACGCUGUCCUGUGGCAUCUUUCCCCACAUCACCUUCCCCUCAUGCUGAAGGGAAUCGGCAUGGGUGCCUGGCUGGAUCACAUGGGACUCUUAAUCUUGAGUCGUGAGUUCAAGCCCCACAUUCGUUAGGUAUGGAGCCUACUUAGGAAAAGAAAAAGAAAAAGAAAAGGAAAAAGAAAAAGAAAAAGAAAAAAGUGAGCCCCAGACAGCAUUCCACUUCACCUGUAAAGACUUCAGUGCAACAAAAUAAUGUUUAAACCCGAAACCAGAUGACAUUAUUCCGCUGAGCACCCUCCACCUCCUUGCGGGCCGUGUGCUCCUGGCCGGUCCGGUCCCACUGUCUCUUUCACUGUCCCCUUGCCCUUCUGUUGUCCAUGCUCGCCAGCUUCUCCCUGUCCAGGGGCUUUGCGGUCCCUCCUCCCGCUGACUGGAUCCCCCAUUUCCCAGAUUUUUCGUGAACGUUUCCCUCCGGCCACGUGCAUCCUUGGUCCACAUUUGGAUGUUUUUUUUCCCCGCUGCAGUGAGAAGCCACCGAGGGACCUAGGCGGCUGGGGGAGGGCGGUAAUCAUGAUCUGGGUUGUAUUUUUAAAUCAUCCUUCUGGCUGCUUUGGAGGAUGAGUUGUGGGUGGGGGUCAGGGAGCAGGAAGACCGUACUCUGAGGUAAUUAAAUGAGAUUAUAGCCAUAAGGCACUCAAAGUCUG
rnacentral:lncRNA from 1 species